rnacentral:rRNA from 1 species
GUGGGGAAUCUUAGACAAUGGGGGCAACCCUGAUCUAGCCAUGCCGCGUGAGUGAUGAAGGCCUUAGGGUUGUAAAGCUCUUUCAGUGGGGAAGAUAAUGACGGUACCCACAGAAGAAGCCCCGGCUAACUCCGUGCCAGCAGCCGCGGUAAUACGGAGGGGGCUAGCGUUGUUCGGAAUUACUGGGCGUAACGCUCACGUAGGCGGAUCGGCAAGGUGGGGGUGAAAUCCCAGGGAGCAACCCUGGAACUGCCUUCAAAACUAUCGGUCUGGGGUCCGAGAGAGGUGAGUGGAAUUCCGAGUGUAGAGGUGAAAUUCGUAGAUAUUCGGAGGAACACCAGUGGCGAAGGCGGCUCACUGGCUCGGUACUGACGCUGAGGUGCGAAAGCGUGGGGAGCAAACAGGAUUAGAAACCCCAGUAGUCC